AGUGAACGCUGGCGGUAGGCCUAACACAUGCAAGUCGAACGGCAGCACAGUAAGAGCUUGCUCUUACGGGUGGCGAGUGGCGGACGGGUGAGGAAUACAUCGGAAUCUACUUUUUCGUGGGGGAUAACGUAGGGAAACUUACGCUAAUACCGCAUACGACCUACGGGUGAAAGCAGGGGAUCUUCGGACCUUGCGCGAAUGAAUGAGCCGAUGGCGGAUUAGCUAGUUGGCGGGGUAAAGGCCCACCAAGGCGACGAUCCGUAGCUGGUCUGAGAGGAUGAUCAGCCACACUGGAACUGAGACACGGUCCAGACUCCUACGGGAGGCAGCAGUGGGGAAUAUUGGGCAGUGGGCGCAAGCCUGAUCCAGCCAUACCGCGUGUGUGAAGAAGGCCUUCGGGUUGUAAAGCCCUUUUGUUGGGAAAGAAAAGCAGCAGGUUAAUACCCCGCUGUUCUGACGGUACCCAAAGAAUAAGCACCGGCUAACUUCGUG
rnacentral:rRNA from 1 species